UACAGAGGGUGCGAGCGUUAAUCGGAAUUACUGGGCGUAAAGCGUGCGUAGACGGUUAUUUAAGUCGGGUGUGAAAGCCCCGGGCUCAACCUGGGAAUUGCAUUCGAGACUGAAUAGCUAGGGUACGGUAGAGGGAAGCGGAAUUUCCGGUGUAGCGGUGAAAUGCGUAGAUAUCGGAAGGAACAUCAGUGGCGAAAGCGGCUUCCUGGACCAGUACCGACGUUCAGGCACGAAGCGUGGGAGCAAACAGG
rnacentral:rRNA from 1 species